GAUGGAAGGUUGAGUCAACCUGGAGACGGGUGAGAUUCGAACUGCCAAAUUGCAGUCACACAAAAAAACCCCCUAAUAGAUAUAUUUCAGAGUGUUAACAUUUUAGCACAAUGCAUCUUUUAAGGACUCUAUUCAUACGUAGACUUGUGAAUUGAUUUAAAAUAGGUUAAUACGUAAAAUGCAGAAAGUUGUGAAGGCCUUGUAUUUAAAGGGGCUGCACUGAUAUAUUUAAAAUAAUGAAUUAGGUGUUUCGUUUCUAACUCCAGGAAGAAAAAAAGAUCCUCUUCUAUUAUCCAAAUGAAGCAGAGAAAAAUGAAAAAAUCAGAAAUGUUGGAUUAUGUGAGGCCAUUGUUCAGUUUACAAGGACCUUCAGUCCUACAAAACCUGCAAAAUCACUACAUACCCAGAAAAAUAGACAGUUCUUCAAUGAACCAGAAGAAAACUUCUGGAUGGUUAUGGUCGUACGGAAUCCGGUGAUAGAAAAACACAAAGAUGGCAAAACAGUCUUCGAAUACCAGGAAGAAGAGCUGCUGG